ACUUGUCUGUGACUUACAGAGGGAGAGAUAGGAAGACUUGUCUGUGACUUACAGAGGGAGAGGUAGGAAGACUUGUCUGUGACUUACAGAGGGAGAGGUAGGAAGACUUGUCUGUGACUUACAGAGGGAGAGGUAGGAAGACUUGUCUGUGACUUACAGAGGGAGAGGUAGGAAGACUUGUCUGUGACUUACAGAGGGAGAGGUAGGAAGACUUGUCUGUGACUUACAGAGGGAGAGGUAGGAAGACUUGUCUGUGACUUACAGAGGGAGAGGUUGGAAGACUUGUCUGUGACCCACAGAGGGAGAGGUUUGAUGACUUGUCUGUGACUUACAGAGGGAGAGGUAGGAAGACUUGUCUGUGACUUACAGAGGGAGAGGUAGGAAGACUUGUCUGUGACUUACAGAGGGAGAGGUUGGAAGACUUGUCUGUGACUUACAGAGGGAGAGGUAGGAAAACUUGUCUGUGACUUACAGAGGGAGAGAUAGGAAGACUUGUCUGUGACUUACAGAGGGAGAGGUAGGAAGACUUGUCUGUGACUUACAGAGGGAGAGGUAGGAAGACUUGUCUGUGACUUACAGAGGGAGAGGUAGGAUGACUUGUCUGUGACUUACAGAGGGAGAGGUAGGAAGACUUGUCUGUGACUUAAAGAGGGAGAGGUUGGAAGACUUGUCUGUGACCUACAGAGGGAGAGGUUUGAUGACUUGUCUGUGACUUACAGAGGGAGAGGUAGGAAGACUUGUCUGUGACUUACAGAGGGAGAGGUAGGAAGACUUGUCUGUGACUUACAGAGGGAGAGGUUGGAAGACUUGUCUGUGACUUACAGAGGGAGAGGUAGGAAAACUUGUCUGUGACUUACAGAGGGAGAGAUAGGAAGACUUGUCUGUGACUUACAGAGGGAGAGGUAGGAUGACUUGUCUGUGACUUACAGAGGGAGAGGUAGGAAGACUUGUCUGUGACUUACAGAGGGAGAGGUAGGAAGACUUGUCUGUGACUUACAGAGGGAGAGGUAGGAAGACUUGUCUGUGACUUACAGAGGGAGAGGUAGGAAGACUUGUCUGUGACUUACAGAGGGAGAGGUUGGAAGACUUGUCUGUGACUUACAGAGGGAGAGGUUUGAUGACUUGUCUGUGACUUACAGAGGGAGAGGUAGGAAGACUUGUCUGUGACUUACAGAGGGAGAGGUAGGAAGACUUGUCUGUGACUUACAGAGGGAGAGGUAGGAAAACUUGUCUGUGACUUACAGAGGGAGAGAUAGGAAUACUUGUCUGUGACUUACAGAGGGAGAGGUAGGAAGACUUGUCUGUGACUUACAGAGGGAGAGGUAGGAUGACUUGUCUGUGACUUACAGAGGGAGAGGUAGGAAGACUUGUCUGUGACUUACAGAGGGAGAGGUAGGAAGACUUGUCUGUGACUUACAGAGGGAGAGGUAGGAAAACUUGUCUGUGACUUACAGAGGGAGAGAUAGGAAGACUUGUCUGUGACUUACAGAGGGAGAGGUAGGAAGACUUGUCUGUGACUUACAGAGGGAGAGGUAGGAUGACUUGUCUGUGACUUACAGAGGGAGAGGUAGGAAGACUUGUCUGUGACUUAAAGAGGGAGAGGUAGGAAGACUUGUCUGUGACUUAAAGAGGGAGAGGUAGGAAGACUUGUCUGUGACUUACAGAGGGAGAGGUAGGACGACUUGUCUGUGACUUACAGAGGGAGAGGUUGGAAGACUUGUCUGUGACCUACAGAGGGAGAGGUUUGAUGACUUGUCUGUGACUUACAGAGGGAGAGGUAGGAAGACUUGUCUGUGACUUACAGAGGGAGAGGUAGGAAGACUUGUCUGUGACUUACAGAGGGAGAGGUUGGAAGACUUGUCUGUGACUUACAGAGGGAGAGGUAGGAAAACUUGUCUGUGACUUACAGAGGGAGAGAUAGGAAGACUUGUCUGUGACUUACAGAGGGAGAGGUAGGAAUACUUGUCUGUGACUUACAGAGGGAGAAGUAGGAAGACUUGUCUGUGACUUACAGAGGGAGAGGUAGGAUGACUUGUCUGUGACUUACAGAGGGAGAGGUAGAAAGACUUGUCUGUGACUUACAGAGGGAGAGGUAGGAUGACUUGUCUGUGACUUACAGAGGGAGAGGUAGGAAGACUUGUCUGUGACUUACAGAGGGAGAGGUAGGAAGACUUGUCUGUGACUUACAGAGGGAGAGAUAGGAAGACUUGUCUGUGACUUACAGAGGGAGAGGUAGGAAGACUUGUCUGUGACUUACAGAGGGAGAGGUAGGAAGACUUGUCUGUGACUUACAGAGGGAGAGGUAGGAAGACUUGUCUGUGACUUACAGAGGGAGAGGUAGGAAGACUUGUCUGUGACUUACAGAGGGAGAGGUAGGAAGACUUGUCUGUGACUUACAGAGGGAGAGGUAGGGAAAACUUGUCUGUGACUUACAGAGGGAGAAAUAGGGAGACUUGUCUGUGACUUACAGAGGGAGAGGUAGGAAGACUUGUCUGUGACUUACAGAGGGAGAGGUAGGAAGACUUGUCUGUGACUUACAGAGGGAGAGGUAGGAAGACUUGUCUGUGACUUACAGAGGGAGAGGUAGGAAGACUUGUCUGUGACUUACAGAGGGAGAGGUAGGAAGACUUGUCUGUGACUUACAGAGGGAGAGGUAGGGAAAACUUGUCUGUGACUUACAGAGGGAGAAAUAGGGAGACUUGUCGGUGACUUACAGAGGUAGAGGUAGGAAGACUUGUCUGUGACUUACAGAGGGAGAGGUAGGAUAACUUGUCUGUGACUUACAGAGGGAGAGGUAGGAAGACUUGUCUGUGACUUACAGAGGGAGAGGUAGGAAGACUUGUCUGUGACUUACAGAGGGAGAGGUAGGAAGACUUGUCUGUGACUUACAGAGGGAGAGGUAGGAAGACUUGUCUGUGACUUACAGAGGGAGAGGUAGGAAGACUUGUCUGUGACUUACAGAGGGAGAGGUAGGGAAAACUUGUCUGUGACUUACAGAGGGAGAAAUAGGAAGACUUGUCUGUGAC